AUUGAACGCUGGCGGCAGGCCUAACACAUGCAAGUCGAGCGGUUGAAGCGAGCUUGCUCCUGGGUUCAGCGGCUGACGGGUGGGUAAUUCCUAGGAAUCUGCCUGGUAGUGGGGUUUAACGUCCCGACACGGGCGCUAAUCUCGCACACGUUCUGCGCUAGACAUUGGGUGAUCUUCGGACCUCACGCUUUCACUUGUGCCUAGGUCGGUUUCGCUAUUUGGUGGUGUUAGGGCCUACCUAGCCGACGAUCCGUAACUGGUCUGAGAGGCUGAUCAGUCACACUGGAAAUGAGACACGGUCCAGACUCCUAAGGGAGGCAGCAGUGGGGAAUAUUGGACAAUGGGCGAAAGCCUGAUCCAGCAAUGACGCGUGUGGGAAGAAGGACUUAGGAUUGUAAAGCACAUUAAGUUGGGAGGAAGGGCAGUGAGGUAAUACCUUGCUGUGUUGACGUUACCAACAGAAUAAGCACCGGCUAACUUCGUG
rnacentral:rRNA from 1 species